GUUUAAACUACUGAUCCAAGACAUUUGCUGCAAGCUAUUCUGGGGCAGUCCUGGAGAUCUCAUGUUACUCCCAUUUCUCCCAGAUGCCUGUUAAAUCAGGGUAAAUUCUUCACUCAUUUUAGAGAAAAUGAAGUGCUAACACAGAUCACAGGAACAGAAGAUUUAUUUAAGCGUUUGUCCCUCUUCGGAAGACAAAGUAGUAGAUUUAAGUUAGAACUGCCAAUAUGGAUCAUGCUGAAGAUAAGCAGUGUUGAAACCAGCACUGUCAGCCUUUCUGCAGGCUUGUCCUUGUGCUCCUCUGAAGAGGCUCUGGGCAGAGAGAAAAAAUUGAGGAAUCGAACCAGAACAAGUUGCACUGGGACUAAUAUGUGCAAAGAAGCAAACUCUACACUGAGAAGGUAACCAAGGAACAGGCCAAAUACUAGAAGUUUUCUUUCUUGAAACAUCAAAGAAGCAACACAGAAUGCAUCUUUCAUAUUCCAGACGUAUACAAUACUUCAGUGUCUUCCAUUCCUUCAGAUUCACUGCUAACAAGAUGAAAGCUAAGGUCUUGUGAGCAUAACCUAAGCCAUCUGUAAAGAAAUGGUAUCCCUUUGAGGUUCUCAGUUUGUUGGGAGGAGGGAAUUGCUUACAGGUUUGCUCUAUUUCAGCACACAGCUUUUAUGUAUAAGCAAUUGUAGAUUGCACAGCUAAGACUUGAUUUGGGAGCUUCCAGAGAAGGGAUGUUGUAGUCACACUUGACAGGCUGGUAUAGAAAGUCAUACACUGGUGCUGGAGAUGUUUCAUGAACUCUCAACCAGAAAAUGAAGAAGAAACAAGAAAUGUCUUAUGGCUUGAAAACAUGAAAGUUUGGUCUGAAAUAUUUACUAAACUGAAUAUAUAGAAUAUACUUAUGAAUUGUACAUGUGUAAAUUACAUAUAAUUGUUAGCCAAGGUACAGUUGUUGAUGUUAAUGGGAUAUCUGUAAUGUGUAUUUCAGCAGCAACAUCAUGCAAUAGAAAACAUUGCCAUCUUGGAGAAAGAAGUAUUAGAAUAGGA
rnacentral:lncRNA from 1 species